GCAUAUUUUAAAGCAAAUCCCAGACAUCAAAUCAGUUCAGCUCUAAAUAUUUCAAGCCUCAACACCCAACAUGAAGCUUGAAUUCAUGACCUCAAGAUCAAGAGCUGUGAACUCUACAGACUGAGCCAGCCAGACAUCCCUAUAAUUGACUCAUGAGCUCUUGGAAGUGAAUUUCUAUUUUUUUUCCCAAUAAUUUUUAAAAACUCAGUGUUACUUUACAUUCCUUCAGUGAAAUGCACACCUCAUGUGUAUAGUUUGAUGAGUGUCCCCAAUGUGUACUUCUCUGUACAAGUCCGCAGCUCUCACCAUACAGACCGUUUCCGUGACAGCAGGAACUUGUCUUACAGCCUCUCCAUCAAACCCUGUGCUUCCCCUGCACACCUUGAGGCUGCAGCUGUUCUGAUCUCUGGUAUCAUAAAGUAGCUUUUCCUCUCCUGAAAUGUAAUAGAAAUGGAACCAUACCAUAUGUGCUCUUUGUGUGUAGCUUUUCUUCAGUAUAGUGUUUUUGAGUAUUUUUUUUUAUGUUGUUGCUUGUAUUUCUUUCUUUUUUUUUUUUUUUUUUUUUGGUUGUUGAUUUCUUUCUUCUUCUUCAACCUCAUCCUCCUCCCCUUCUUCUCUUUCUUCUUUUGAAUAGUUCAUCGUCCAUUGCAUGAACAUACACAACAAUUUACCCAUUCCUCUGUUGAUGGAUAUUUGGGCUAGUUCCAGUUUGGGGCAAUUAUGAUGAAAGCUGCUAUGAAUGUUUUUGUAUGAGUCUUUUUGUGGAAUAUAUUUUUAUCUCACUUGGGUAAAUACCUAGGGGUGGAAGUGUUGAGUCAUAGGGUAAGUACAUGUUUACCUUUACAAGAAACUGCCAAACUGGUUGUCCAAAGAAGUUCUACCACUCACACUCCACUAUUGCUGGAUAUUUCAGACUCUUCAACUUUAAUGAUUCUAGUGAGUAAAAUAUGGUAUCCUAGUUGUUUUUUAUAAUCAGUUUUACUGAUGUAUAAUUUAUAUGCAAUAAAAUAACAUUUUAAGUGUAUGAUUUCUCGAGUUUUGACAGAUGUACACACCUGUGUAAUCACAACCCCUAAUCAAGACAUAGAACAAUUCCCUGGCCCUUUCUAGUCCCCCCACUUCUGUCCCAGUAACCACUAAUCUUAUUUCUAUCAUUUUUCAUUUGUUUUGCCUGUUCUGAAAUUUCAUAUAAAUGGAAUCAUACAAUAUGUACUCUUUUUUUGCAUGGCUUCUUUCAUUUAGCAUAAUUGUUUUAAGAUUCACUCAUUUUUUGUGUGUCCAACAUUAACAUUUACCUUUUCAUUGCUGAGUGACAUUCUAUUGUACGGAUGUACCAAACUUAUUUAUCCAUUGUCCUGAUGAUGGACAUUUGGAUUUCCUUUACUUUUUGCCUAUCGUGAAUAAAUGUAUUUUCUUAUA